rnacentral:lncRNA from 1 species
AAAAAUUGUAAUCUGCAAAAUAUAUUGACAAUAAAGACUUAAUAUGCUUAUCACAUUUAAAAUUGCGACGCAAUUCCUUAUUGGACUAACACUUCAUAAAAACAACAAAAAGGAAUGCGUCGCACAGGUUAGUAAAAGAGGGACGAAAGAUACAAAAGGGACACUCAAUAUCGUAAUUCAGAAAUAAACUGACAAUGCAAUGUCUAAAAUAGAAACAAAUACACACACAUUUACACAC